rfam:Dipodomys ordii contig_55431, whole genome shotgun sequence.
AGCUCAGUGGUAGAGUGCUUGCCUUGCAUGCAUGAGGCCCUGGGUUCGAUUCCUCAG